GGCUCUUGCUGAUUCUUUGAGUAAACAACAUCUCCACAGACAGCAGUUUUAUCGUAUUAAGUCAAUAUACCAUUGAAAAUCUGGUCUACCGCUGGUCGAAUUGAUUCACCUGAAAAGAUGCCACCCCUGAGUUGCAUUUCUGGGACCAUCGCCACCUUUGCCCUCCCUUUGCAAGCCAUUGAGUGAGUGGAGCCUCAGGGAGAAGAACAACUCAAGCCUGGCACACAAGGCCAUCCAACACAGUGAGAGAAGGCUGUGAACCGUUACACCCCGUAGCGUGUCAACGUUCUUUUCCUGACUGGAUAUGUCACUCCCUUCCUGAUGUCAGCGCAUGAUGAUGCUUGUUUCAUCACACGUAACAGAUGUUUUUGAAGGAAGAAGA